GAUGAAGAACGUAGCGAAAUGCGAUAAGUAGUGUGAAUUGCAGAAUUCAGUGAAUCAUCGAAUCUUUGAACGCACAUUGCGCCCCUUGGUAUUCCAUGGGGCAUGCCUGUUCGAGCGUCAUUUGUACCCUCCAGCCCUGCUGGGUAUUGGGCGUUUUGUUCCGCUACGCGCGUGAACUCGCCUCAAAUGCAUUGGCAGCCCGCCGUCCCGUGUGGGAGCGCAGCACAUUUUGCGCUCUCCGCUGCUGACGGUGGCAUCCACAAGUCUACCAUUUUACGCUUGACCUCGGAUCAGGUAGGGAUAACCGCUGAACUUAAGCAUAUCAAUAAGCGGAGGA
rnacentral:misc_RNA from 1 species